rnacentral:rRNA from 1 species
AGCAGCCGCGGUAAUUCCAGCUCCAAUAGCGUAUAUUAAAGUUGUUGCAGUUAAAAAGCUCGUAGUUGAACUUCGGGGUCUACCCAUUGGUCAGGCUUAAUUGUCUGCACUGGUGAGAUGGAUCUCUACCUUCUGAGGAACUUUCAUGCCAUUUAUUCGGUGUGGUUGGAAAUCAGGACUGUUACUUUGAAAAAAUUAGAGUGUUUAAAGCAGACUAUCGUCUGAAUACAUUAGCAUGGAAUAAUGAAAUAGGACGGACUGAUUCUAUUUCGUUGGUUUCUAGGAUCACCGUAAUGAUUAAUAGGGAUAGUUGGGGGCAUUAGUAUUCAAUUGUCAGAGGUGAAAUUCUUGGAUUUAUUAGAAGACUUAACUACUGCGAAAGCAUUUGCCAAGGAUGUUUUCAUUAAUCAAGAACGAAGUUAGGGGAUCGAAGACGAUCAGAUACCGUCGUAGUCUUAACCAU